AGUGAACGCUGGCGGUAGGCCUAACACAUGCAAGUCGAACGGCAACACAGUAAGCGCUUGCUCUUACGGGUGGCGAGUGGCGGAUGGGUGAGGAAUACAUCGGCAUCUACUUUUUCGUGGGGGACAACGUAGGGCAACUUACGCUAAUACCGCAUACGACCUACCGGUGAAAGCAGGGGAUCUUCGUACCUUUCCCGCUUGAAUGAGCUGAUGUCGGAUUAGCUAGUUGGCGGGGUAAAGGCCCACCAAGGCAACGAUCCGUAGCUGGUCUGACAGGAUGGUCGCCCAAACUGGAACUGAGAACGGGUCCAGACUCCUACGGGAGGAAGCGGUGGGGAAUAUUGGACAAUGGGCGAAAGCCUGAUCCAGCCAUACCGCGGGGGUGAAGAAGGCUUUCGGGUUGUAAAGCCCUUUUGUUGGGAAAGAAAAGCAGCAGGUUAAUACCCCGCUGUUCUGACGGUACCCAAAGAAUAAGCACCGGCUAACUUCGUG
rnacentral:rRNA from 1 species